rnacentral:rRNA from 1 species
AGAACGAACGCUGGCGGCGUGGAUAAGACAUGCAAGUCGAACGGGACUUUUUUGGUAGCAAUACUAGAAAAGUCUAGUGGCGAACGGGUGCGUAACACGUGGGCAAUCUGCCGAAAAGUGGGGGAUAGCUCGCCGAAAGGCGAAUUAAUACCGCAUGUGGUGAGAGUAGACAUCUAUUUGAAUCCAAAGCCGGGGCAACCUGGCGCUUUUUGAGGAGCCCGCGGCCUAUCAGCUUGUUGGUGAGGUAACGGCUCACCAAGGCUUCGAUC